ACAGAGGGUGCAAGCGUUAAUCGGAAUUACUGGGCGUAAGGCGCGCGUAGGUGGUUGUGUAAGUUGGAUGUGAAAGCCCCGGGCUUAACCUGGGAACUGCAUUCAAAACUGCACGGCUAGAGUACGGGAGAGGGGGGUAGAAUUCCAGGUGUAGCGGUGAAAUGCGUAGAGAUCUGGAGGAAUACCGAUGGCGAAGGCAGCCCCCUGGCCUGAUACUGACACUGAGGUGCGAAAGCAUGGGGAGCAAACAGGA
rnacentral:rRNA from 1 species